UACGGGGGGGGCAAGCGUUGUUCGGAAUUACUGGGCGUAAAGGGCUCGUAGGCGGCCAACUAAGUCAGACGUGAAAUCCCUCGGCUUAACCGGGGAACUGCAUCUGAUACUGGAUGGCUUGAGAUUGGGGAGAGGGGAUGCGGAAUUCCAGGUGUAGCGGUGAAAUGCGUAGAUAUCUGGAGGAACACCGGUGGCGAAGGCGGCAUCCUGGACCAACACUGACGCUGAGGAGCGAAAAGCCAGGGGGAGCAAAACGGGG
rnacentral:rRNA from 1 species